AACUGAUACUACCUGCGGGAACCUGCGGAGGGAUCAUUACUGAGUGAGGGCCCCUCGGGGUCCAACCUCCCACCCGUGUUUAACGAACCUUUGUUGCUUCGGCGGGCCCGCCUCACGGCCGCCGGGGGGCUCCUGCCCCCGGGCCCGCGCCCGCCGAAGCCCCCCCUUGAACGCUGUCUGAAGUUUGCAGUCUGAGAAACUAGCUAAAUUAGUUAAAACUUUCAACAACGGAUCUCUAGA
rnacentral:misc_RNA from 1 species